rnacentral:misc_RNA from 1 species
GUGAGAUGAGAGCUAGAAAUCCCUUCCAAGUGAGAGUGUGGAACUCAAGUAGAGAAGAGUUCUAGUAAAAUAGUUGUGUGAGAGUAUUGUACACAACUUAGAAUGCAUUGGUAUGAUACAAAGUAUGCUAUGUAAUUGCCACUUUGAUGGAUCUUAUUUGAAAUGAUCAUCCUUUUGUUUAUAUCUUGUUAAAAAUUAAUAAAAGUUUAGAGUGUGAUUUUCGAUGUCAAAAUCUACCUAUAUUUUUCUAACAUAUCCUCCACCUAGCUAAUGAAGUGAUUUGAGGAGAAAA